AGCCCUGGAGAGAGAAGCAGGGUCUGAUCCGUAGUCUCCAUGGCAGCUGCUGAUAAGCCUUUGCCUCUCUCUAUCUCUCCA
rfam:Myotis brandtii contig263334, whole genome shotgun sequence.